AACGAACGCUGGCGGCAUGCCUAACACAUGCAAGUCGAACGUGAUCCAGGGCUUCGGCUCUGGUGAAAGUGGCGGACGGGUGAGUAACGCGUGGGAACCUGCCCAGUGGUAGGGGAUAACCGCGGGAAACUGCGGCUAAUACCCUAUGUGCCCUGCGGGGCAAAGAUUCAUCGCCAUUGGAGGGGCCCGCGUCGGAUUAGGUCGUUGGUGAGGUAACGGCUCACCAAGCCUGCGAUCCGUAGCUGGUCUGAGAGGAUGAUCAGCCACACUGGGACUGAGACACGGCCCAGACUCCUACGGGAGGCAGCAGCGGGGAGUAUUGGACAAUGGGGGCAACCCUGAUCCAGCAAUGCCGCGUGAGUGAUGAAGGCCUUAGGGUUGUAAAGCUCUUUCGGCGGGGAAGAUGACGACGGUACCCGCAGAAGAAGCCCCGGCUAACUUCGUGCCAGCAGCCGCGGUAAUACGAAGGGGGCUAGCGUUGUUCGGAAUUACUGGGCGUAAAGGGCGC
rnacentral:rRNA from 1 species